GGUGGGAAGGAGCUGAGGGUCUGGUGGUGAUUACAGAGAGCCUGCGGCCUGAAACCAGACACAGACGCUGUCCCCUCGGACCGCCCCACUGGGAGCUUUGCCACAUGGACCUGCCCAUCCCUGGGUGUACCGUCUCAGGGGCAGCACAGCUAAGGAGGGUCCCCUCUGCCACUCCACCCUGACCUGCUGUCCCUCGUGUACCGUCAUGAGGCAGGGAAGAAUAGAGCGGACGUGGUCACGAGGAAACUGAGUGUGUGAUGAUGUGCCUCCACGAGACAUACAAGAGCAGAAAGGACCUCGACGCUGACACGUCUCCAUCAAUGUCGUUGUCACUUUGCCUGUGUGCAUCUUCAUUUUCCCAGAGGGAACUGCAAACACCUGGAGGCAGGGAAACCUCCGCCCGAAUGCACCCUGUACUUGUCACGGAUGUUUUCCAGCUUACUCCUUCUGCAGGGAGAUCGUUCCUCUUCAGCCGGAAGAGCCAGCACAGCGCCAGUGGUAGCACUAGUUGGAGCUGCUCUGACGGCUCAAGGGGCUCAGAUCCCACCACCAAGAAAUCAGGCAGCAGGCAAUGAGGCACGGACAGCGCCAGCCCUUCUGAAGAUUACCCCGAAACACCAGAUUCAUUCUGAGAUCCUGACGGAGAUCCCCGGGCGUUAAAAAUGUGUGUUCUGAUACUAAAUUAAAGAAAGGUUGUGUAUCCAAAGGUUAAGUAUCUUGACAGAAUUUUUCUAAAAGCAAAACCUCUCUGUGGAACCCUUAAAACUAAUUCAAAAUGACUUUCAAAUCAGGAGGGAAAGGACCAGGUGUCCUACCAGCUGGCUCUUCCCAGACCCGAGGCACGAGGCCCCCAUGUGGCUAAGGGUCCUGGGACUGAGGUGGUCUCCCUGACAGGCCCCGGGGCGCCGCGCUCACCGAGGCGGGGUCUCACCCUCGUGGGGUGGCCCCCGUGGGCCUCCUCAUGUGACAUGGCUGUUGGAUAAUCACUUGGGCAAC